GCAACAGAGGAGUCACUGAAAUGCACCGUUCUUCUUUGUAACGAGAGCGAUGGAGAGAGGUCUCACCGUGUCUCCAUUCUCCUGCCCAGUCUCUCAGUUAGAGUCACAGGCGUGCAUUCCCAGGCCAGCCCGCUGCGGCAGCUGCUUGUCUCACCAUGGCUGGCUCCCAGAGUAAGAGUCUCUUUCUAGUGAGUGCACAUGCCCUCCAGCAACUACAAUGAAAACAAUGGAAGGAAGAUGCUCUCUGCAGUGAAGAACAAUGCCAGAGACCUGGAAGAUUUUAGCACACCUGGGGCCCUGGCCACGCUCAGAGAGGAGUCCAACAACCAGAAUAAUUCUUUCAUAGACAGAAGUCAGAGCCUGUCCCUGUUGACCUCAACACCCUCUGUAGCUGCCCAAGUCGUCCAGAUGAAAGCCAAGCCCUUCGAAAUCACCGGCAAGGUCCUGUGUGAUGCACCCUCCAAGACUGCUCUUAUGCAUCCCCUCACCUGCCGCCAUCUCUUUCUACCAUCGCUCCCCACCCACCCGCACACUGCUUUUCCUCUGCGCAGCCACCUGGCCUCCUUGUGGAUCUUUGGAGGUACCAUUUCCCCCUCCCCACUCGCACUCCCUUAGCAUAUUCUCCGCUCUUUCCAGGUCUCUGUUGGAACAUGGACCCCCACUUCCCCACCACCCCUCCACACACAUGCCUC